UUUUGGAGUAGUAAAGCUCCUGCAGUACCAUGAUGUCAAGCACACAACAAUCAUGUCCAUGCUAUUUGAAAAUGAAGAUGGAAACUACUUCCUAAGCAUGACCGAACGAGACCUACUAAACCAGUAAGUAUUCAAAAAUGCACAUAUUGCAAUGUACAUAGCAUCCUACGUCACAACCCUUUGCUAGCAAAAAUAACAAAUGCAUGUUUGCAUAUAAUUUGCAAGAAAGCCAUGAAUGCAAGGAAAGAUGAUUUGGAUGAUGUAUUGAAACUUGUAUCUUUCUUUAAAGACAUGAAGGCAAUCAAUGAUGAGUUUUUCUAUGACAUACAAGUAGACAGCGACAAAUCAGUUAAAAACAUUUUCUGGUCCAAUGCAAGCUGCCGAGGAGCGUAUCAAGACUUUGGCGAUUGCGUAACAUUUGACACAACUUACAAGACCAACAGAUUUCAUAUGCCUCUGGGAGUGUUUGUUGCAACAAACCAUCACUUGCAGUCAACGAUAUUUGCUGUUUCCCUGAUCAGAGACGAAGAUGCAAAGUCAUUGAAGUGGUUGUUCGAUACAUUUGUACGGUGCAUGAACAACAAACACCCAACUUGCAUUCUAACAGACCAGUGCCCGUCGAUGGCGAAAGCUAUACCACAAUCAUUCCCAAACACCAUCCACAAGCUAUGCCGUUGGCACAUCCUGAAGAAGUUCAAGGAAUACCUCGCAUUGCUGUACAAAAAGUAUAAAACAUUCAAAGAGGAGUUCACAACAAUCUUAAACUGGCCGCUAAUGCCAACGGAGUUUGAAGCUGUCUGGGCUGCACUCGUGCAAAAGUACAACCUGCAGAAUGACCAGAUGAUGAUGCAGUUGUGGAGUGAUAGGAAAAUGUGGAUAUCAGCAUAUUACAAGAACAUUUUCUGUGCUAUAAUGACUCCUACACAAUGAAGCGAGAGCAUGAAUCACGUGCUCAAGAGAGGCUUUGUCAAGGGGACCGAGAACCUACACAAGUUUGCUAGGCGGGUAAAUGCUUGCAUACAAACUCGGAUGCAAAAGGAGAACGAGCAAACAAUGACCAGCAUGAUCAAUCCUGUGACAAAAACAACUUACGGCUACGAGGAAGACAUGGCUAUCAAGUACACAAGAGCCUUGUACAGCAAGAUGAGGAUUGGGAUGAGAAAAUCCAUGCUAUUUCACGCAAAGCCUACAGUAGAGCCCACUAAGUAACUUGUGUACUACCACAACAAGGCUAGCCAUGAUGAUGAAGAAAGAUUUGCCUGGUCAAAGCAUGAAUUCCAGGUUGUAGCUGACCGAGAUAAUGAAAUAUACGAGUGUGAAUGCAAGCUUUGGACACACACGGGCCUGUUUUGCCUUCACAUCAUGAAAAUACUGGACUACGUGAAGCCUGACAAAUUUCCAGACAAGUACAUCCUGAAAAGGUACACAAAGACUGCAAAAGCACAACCAACAUUUGAUACAAGGGACUACAACACAACUGCAUGAGAUGGCAGCUCAAGACUAUCGAAGCAAGACAUCUUGCUGCAGCUAAAUUUGAUGGUUAACAAGAAAGCGAUGAGAUGUGACCAACAAUAUGACAGAGCCUUCUAUGUUCUCAAGAGGCUUGUGGAAGAGCUUGAUGCAAUACAUUCAGCAAAUCGAGCGGAUGCUGGCGAAAGGAUGGCUGAAGAGGAUGCUGAAAUUUAAGAUGACCUUCAUUAUUAUGAAGCUGAAAUGCUCCAGACCGCUGCUCAAGCCAACCAAUGCAAGCAGGAUGUUGACCAAUUAUUUCAGCAGCGGCAGCAAGAGACGAUGAAACUGCCACUAUACUCUGAAACAAAGGGUAGGAAGAAAAUUUCUGCAGCAACGGAAAGUGGCAAGAGAGCUCAAAUAAAGGCACCAUGUGCAGCAAGAGUCGUCGUGCUCGAUGAGAACGGAGUGCCACUUGGACACAGGCAAUAUAGUGUGUGCAAAUAGGUUGCAGGACACAACAAACUCACAUGUCCAACACUCGUAGAAAGAAACGAUGCCGAGGAGGUCAAGCAAGCCAAAGUUCAAAAACAGCAGCCCAAAGUUAUAGAACAAAAUAGGGGACCACACCCACAGAAAGCAAGCAGCAGGCUUUGUAGCAUAUGCAAGGAGUAUGAACCACACAAUGCAAGAACACAUGCCCGAAGCACGCAGAUGCUGAAAAGACAAGCCAAAAGGCAGAAAAGAAACAGAAAGCAAAACCUAGAGCCAGCAACAAGAAGUAGUGGAAGAUGAAGAGGAGGAUGAGGAAGACGAAUAUGAAGACAUCAUCGAAGAGGAGGAAGAGGAAGAGGAAGAUGACGAGCAAGAGGAAGAGGAAGAGAAAGAGGUACAUGUCAAGCAAAAACCACUACAACCAAAGCCUAGGAGGAGCGCAAGGCUGAUGAAUAGUUAGACUAGGUCAAUUAAACAAAGCAGACUUAUGUCAUGCUAAUGUGCAGAAUGUUAUUCCACUUUUAAAAUAGUAUUUUAGGAGAAGCUUACUUGAACUUCUGUUGUUGAAGUUUCAAAGAAAUUAUACGGUAGAAGUUCAAGUAAGCUUACUGUAGAAGUCCUGGUAUAUUAUGAGAGUUGGUGCU